AACGAACGCUGGCGGCGUGCCUAACACAUGCAAGUCGUGCGAGAAAGUUCCUUCGGGAGCGAGUAAAGCGGCGCACGGGUGAGUAACACGUAGGUAACCUGCCCCCCAGUCUGGAACAACUAGAGGAAACUCUAGCUAAUGCCGGAUGAGACCACGAUCCCUUCGGGGUUGCGGCCAAAGAUGGCCUCUACUUGUAAGCUAUCGCUGAGGGAUGGGCCUGCGGGCCAUUAGCUUGUUGGUGAGGUAACGGCUCACCAAGGCUGUGAUGGCUAGCUGGUCUGAGAGGAUGACCAGCCACACUGGGACUGAGACACGCCCAGACUCCUACGGAGGCAGCAGUGGGAAUUAGUUGG
rnacentral:rRNA from 1 species